CCAUUGUGACAUGUGCCAGGAGUCAUAUUCACCUGCUGAACAGCGGCCUGAAGGGGGGAAAGGGGGAGUGACUCCACCUGCAGCUAAUCAGCCUUCAAGGACACAGAGGAGAAGGCACUGAUGAGAACCAGCUGGUUUCAGCCUCCUUAAGCAGAGCUUCCAGCAGCAAUCAGAUGGCCCAACCUUGCUGCUUCCUGCUCAUCUUCAUCCUUGACCCCUGACCGCAUGAUAUUCGGAUUCCCUGACCCCUGGACCAUCUGAUCAUGCAGAUUGCUGUUUGCCCUGCCCUAGGACUGGACCUGACUUCAGAUGCUGACUCUGCCUCCAGGCAAGUACACCUCAGAGACUCUUCUGGUUGGGUGCCCUCUCACUCCACUGAGUUCUGCAUGUUGUUGCUCAGCAAUGAAACUACAACAUAUCAGGCAGUUGAAUGUGCAUGCAUACUCCUUCUGUUUUCCUCCCUCUCACCCAUCCCCUCCAUGUGGCCCUGGCCCCUGGCAACCCACGCUACACCACUGAUUCUACCAUGUUAAUACAUGUAUAAUGUAUACGGAAUUACCCUUUUACUCCUAUUAAUGGUACCACAAAAUCUUGAGUUUAAAGUAAAAUCCCAUUGUUGUCUUUCUGAGACUGGAACUCCAUGUUUGGUCAGGUCUGGGGAAAGUGGAAUUCAAGUAAUCACAUGCAAAUGGUGGCUUAAGGAGUAGCUUGCACUGAAAAAUUGGUGAGUGGUAAGAAGUGUUUAACUCUUUUCCUAUCAGCUGAUUAUCUCUUGCAACUCUCCCCAGAUGGGGCUCUGGAUGUGUGCUUACAGUGGGGUGUGGAGAAAAGGAUGAAAGUGGCCAUAGAGAAAGUAUCACCCACCCCUUGUCAUCCCCUCUUACCCACUGUUUCAAGCCAGCAACAUUGGUGUGCACGUAUGGACAGGUGGUUGUUGCAGGUCCAAUAGAAACACUCUCUAGAAGCUGUAUAUCUAACAACUACAAAACUGUCAUUCACCUGUGAAGCUUUCCCUCUCAUGGAGAUGCAGUAUUGUAAAAAGCUGGAUCCAUUGGAUUUCUGCAAGCCAUAUGUUCAUUAAAGCCACAGCAUCAGGGAAAUGGUGGCAACUUUAGCUCUCUGGAUAAUUAGAGACCCCCAGAAAACUGUUAAACUCUCUGCUUCAGUUGAAUCCCAGGCCCAUAACAUCCAGUACAGUACCCGGUACAACCCUUGCUCUCUUUGGCAUCUCCCCACAAAGCCCCUCCACCCCCAAAUGCAUUUGGUGGAAAACUUGGUAUUGCAGCAGAUUAAUGACCUUAGCAAAAUGUAAUUACACAACAGAGUUCUGCUCUUAAUAACUGCGUAUUUUACUUGUCAAUGUGCCUUAAUUGAAAAUGAGUAGGCGAUACAAGUUGCAGUGGAGUUGGCUGGCAAGCCUUUAACGCUAUAUUAAUUGUAGUAAUUAGCAGUCACUUUAUGUUGGAGUCAUCUAUAAAUAGGGGGUCCAUUAGUUUAGCAGAAGAGCGUGAUUUAAAAUGCAAAUAAAAACCCAAUUAGACAUAUAAAUCACUUCCCCCCUCCCAAAAUUUACUGUCAAAAAAGCCAGAUUUUUAAAAAAGUAUUUCAGCUCCCAUGAAUAGGGUAGGGCUGCUGACUUUUUCAAUUGGUCGCUGUGGUAAUACCUUUAGGAACAGCCAAAUGUGCAGGCAUUUUCAGGUAAUAAUGUUUAUUUCCAGGCUGUAAAUAGCUUCACCCGCUGAUUUCUGCAGAUCAAGUUGCUGUUAAAGCAGGCCUAGUCAGAUCCCCCCCCCCCCCACGGUUGGUUGAUAUCAAUAGAAAAGGACAUGUUUGGGGGGUUCUGGCUGUUAGAUACUACAUUUCCCAUCAUCCCUGACCACACUGACCAGGGCUGAUGGGAACUGCAGUCCAACAUCCUCUGGCAAACAGGUUUCCCAUCCCUGGAAUAGGUUGGGAUGGAAAGAAGAGGUCAAAUGUGAUUUCUCACCAUUCUGAACUCCUGGUAAUCUGACCACAAGAUCUGUGGAUAAAGGAUGGUACAGUGGUAGCUCAGGUUAAGUAUUUAAUUCGUUCUGGAGGUCCAUUCUUAACCUGAAACUGUUCUUAACCUGAAGCACCACUUUAGCUAAUGGGGCCUCCUGCUGCUGUCGCGCCCCUGGAGCACAAUUUCUGUUCUCACCCUGAAGCAAAGUUCUUCACCUGAAGCACUAUUUCUGGGUUAGCAGAGUCUGUAACCUGAAGCGUGUGUAACCUGAAGCGUAUGUAACCCGAGGUACCACUGUAUAUACAUGUAAUAAAUAAAAAUAAAAGAGGCGCUGCAGGUGAUGAUGGCUACUCUACUCUUCAGACAUUCUUCUCCACCAAUGCUGAAAAGGGCAAUAAGUUUUGGGGGAGAUCUGGUCCAAAGGGUCAAUGACGGUUUUCCACGUGAACAUCAGCAAUAUUGUACAUUGAGAUGAAGAGACUUUGUGCCAUCAAGUUAAUGCUCUCCCUCUCUCUCUCUCUCCCUCUCUUUCCCGCCCCCCCUCGAAGUCCAAGGGGAACCGGAGCCCAGGGGAAAAAUUCGCUCUGAAGGCUGGCAAUGUCUUUUCCCACUCACCUUCCGCUUAAGGCCUCUUUCAGCUUUGUGCCAGAAUCAACUUGUCACACAGGGCCAUGUGCUCAUAGGCUUUUGAACGGCAGGUGUCAUGUGCUAUAAAAUGCAGCAAUGCUUGAAGGCCCAGGAGAGUUCUAAAAGUGGCAACAUCAGAUUGCUUGUUUUUAGACCAAGGAAAAAGAAAAGGGAAGCUGUCCUGCUCCCAGCCACCCAUAGGCUUCUGUUUAUUUCCCCUGAUGUCCCAAUAUAGUGAAGAGUGCAGAAUAACAUUCCAAUGCUUUUUGCAGAGCCUUGUGAAGCUUUGACAUAAAGUGACAUCCAAUGUACCCGAAAGACCCAAUCCAGAACAACUUAUAGAGAAGAACUUCUGCUGCAUAGAUAGAACAAUGACUGUACAAAACAGCUUAUGACACUUGAGCCAUAUCUCAUGGAACUGCACACUCGUCCAUCUCCUUUUGAUUCUCACCCAAAAUGAAUUCUGCUUUCAUAGAUAUCAAGAAGGCUUACAGUCAAAGAAAGCAAUUUACAAACAGCAUAGUUAAAACAGCUGACUGAAAACAGCAGAAAAACAAUAAACACAGCCUAUGCAAUAAAACCAACCCAGCUAACUUAAAAAGGGCUGAGAACAAUAUGGGAAUAAGCACCAUAUUCUUACAGAAUGCAGUGAAGAGAUAGGGAUGCUUCCACUGAAAGGACCCGCUCCCCAAUCACCAUCUGUCUAAGUUCAGAAGGCAAGGACACCUGGAGGAGAGCAUCUGACAAUGAUCUUAGAGCAC